GUGGGGAAUAUUGGUCAAUGGGCGCAAGCCUGAACCAGCCAUGCCGCGUGAAGGAAUAAGGCCCUAUGGGUCGUAAACUUCUUUUGUGGUGGAGCAAUAAGGUGUACGUGUACACCGAUGAGAGUACAUCACGAAUAAGCAUCGGCUAACUCCGUGCCAGCAGCCGCGGUAAUACGGAGGAUGCAAGCGUUAUCCGGAUUUAUUGGGUUUAAAGGGUGCGUAGGCUGUUUGGAAAGUCAGGGGUGAAAGCCCGGCGCCUAACGCCGGAACUGCCUUUGAUACUUCCGAGCUGGAAUACGGAUGCCGUGGGAGGAAUGAGUAGUGUAGCGGUGAAAUGCAUAGAUAUUACUCAGAACACCGAUUGCGAAGGCAUCUCACGAAUCCGUCAUUGACGCUGAGGCACGAAAGCGUGGGGAUCAAACAGG
rnacentral:rRNA from 1 species